CCGCGGCGCCUCCUUAAAAAGCGCGCGGGAGUUGUAAGGGGGGGCCGGAGCGAGCCGGAGUGAGCGAGAGCGCAGGAAACAGCAGCGCCGCCGCCGCUCCGCCGAGGCGCUGCGCCCCCCGGGGGGGAGGCGGAGGAGGCGG
rnacentral:sRNA from 1 species